AGCCCUUUGCUCCUCUUUUGUACUCUCAGCCUUUAUGUAUCUGGCACAUCCAGCCCUACACUCACCGGCCAUUGAGCACUGAGAGCUGCUGGCAUCCUUACUUACGGGACCGACCCAAUGCAGUGCUUAAAGGAGGUGUGUCAAAUGAAGCUGCAGGAAGCCCUCUUUUAUUCAAACGAAGGACCUGGCAAGGAAUUUGCUCUCUCCAUUCACAGGUUUCCUCCUGUGCUCUUUUGCUAGACCAUGCUCUGGUUUCCAGUUAUGACCUACCUCUCAUGGCGCUGUGAUCAACGCUUGGAUUGUCAAUGGAAUUCAGACUGCUGUUAGGUAACAAGAAAACUAUGCUAAUAAUUUUCCACGUAAGUAAGCAAGCAUUUCACCACUGAUGCUGCAAUGAGCUUCUCUACUGCUGCCAAGUUGCACAGGUAAUGAAUAAAGCUUGUACAGUGAUUCCAGAGCCACCGACAAACUUCUUGCCUAACUACGCUGUAGUGACUAAAGCAUUUGAAGAUGCUUAGCAGAGGACUCUUCAAUUAUGUUCUUUUUUGUUGUUUAACAGAAAUAACAUAACUUUUAUGUUUUAACUUUAAAACAAGAUCCAUUACUAGGCUAUAUUCCUUCUCUUGCUUAGACUGGAGUCCUUUCUACACCAUUAGGUGUAAACCUUGAGUUUCUCCCCUUUA
rnacentral:lncRNA from 1 species